rnacentral:rRNA from 1 species
GUGAGUAACACGUGGAUAACCUACCUAUAAGACUGGGAUAACUUCGGGAAACCGGAGCUAAUACCGGAUAAUAUAUUGAACCGCAUGGUUCAAUAGUGAAAGACGGUUUUGCUGUCACUUAUAGAUGGAUCCGCGCCGCAUUAGCUAGUUGGUAAGGUAACGGCUUAACAAGGCAACGAUGCGUAGCCGACCUGAGAGGGUGAUCGGCCACACUGGAACUGAGACACGGUCCAG